AUCUGCGCCUGGGGAACAGUUGUUGUUGGGCAUUAUUAACUGCCUUGCUCAAGGGCAGAAUGGCAGAGUUUUUUUCAGUGAGCUGCUUUCUGAGUGGUAUCUGUGUGACAGAGGUGGUUUGCUGAAUCACUCACAUUCUAAAUUGUAACCUUGCCUGAGACCUGAAUAUCUAGGCUUUAGCUCAGUAGGCUAACACAGUUUUGUGGAGCUCAGGAGACCUGGGUUUGAACCCCCGGUCGGUCACAUAUGUAGUGUCUGGGUGUAGACCAGCGGUUGCUGUAGCAGCUGUCGUCCCAUGCUCCGUGAUACUGGUAGUUGUCAGACUGCUCACCUGAAUAACCAUUACUCAGACACUACUCAUAGUCUACUCUCUCAUUGUCAAGUAUGGGUGCGUCCCAAAGGGCCCUGAUCAAAGGUAGUGCACUACAUAGGGAAUAGGGAGCCAUUUGGGAUGAGGAAUAUAUCUCAUUACUCUGGCUAAGGGGAGCUUGUUAGAUGUACAGUAGCCUAUAUCUCAUUACUCUGGCUAAGGAGAGCUUGUUAGGCCUACAGUAGCCUGGCCUGCAUUUACAAUAUCUCUGACGUUCAUUGUCUAAAUGUUAGUCUGGCCUACAGACAGUCUUCUUCAUUUGACCUGAAGAGACACAUGAUGGAAAUAGCCCGUAAUGGUGUAUAUUUGGCAGAACUCUUCAAAGUGUGAGCAAUGUGAGCAUAUUGGUCAUGUAAUUUUAAUGUGGCGGAAGCAUCUAACUAACCUAACUAGCAGUAGGCAGACAGCCCACCCAGCUCCCCGCUAAGUCAAGCUCCAUCGACAGCUGUCUCUCUCUCUGUGUGUGUGUGCGUGCCGUAAAGUAGACUCUGACGGCCUCUUGCCAUCUGCUCAGAGAACAAGGGACCAGGAUGAGAGAUACUAUGUGUCAUCUUCAUUUCCAGAGUUAUUGAAGAAGCUCUCGAUCUCUGCUGGGCUCAGUCUGUGGGAGGUUAGUUAGAGGCUCUAGAUCUCUGCUGGGCAGUCUGUGGGAGGUUAGUUAGAGGCUCUAGAUCUUUGCUGGGCUGAGUCUGUGGAGGUUAGUUAGAGGCUCUAGAUCUUGCUGGGCUGAGUCUGUGGGAGGUUAGUUAGAGGCUCUAGAUCUCUGCUGGGCUGAGUCUGUGGGAGGUUAGUUAGAGGCUCUAGAUCUCUGCUGGGCUGAGUCUGUGGGAGGUUAGUUAGAGGCUCUAGAUCUCUGCUGGGCUGAGUCUGUGGGAGGUUAGUUAGAGGCU